CAUUAGUGGCUGUUGGGGUCUGGGAGGAUGGACAACCACUGCUCUGGGCACCGGACCAGAUGAGACGAUCCGGGGACUAGGGAAGGGAAGGGGGUUCCUCCAUGUAUUUCUCAUAGCAUCCUAAGAUGCCAGUGGAAGCCGGAACCAGAAACAAGAACAUCGGGUGACUGUGAGCUGAAACUGAAACCGGGAGCCUGAGUAGCCUUUCCUCCUCUGUAUUCUUGUCAUAACCAGGGCAAGCCAACUGACUUGAAAUUACAUUCUGUUUGCAGAGACACACACCAAACGGAAGGGCAAGCUAAGAAAACCCCCUUGAGCAAGAAAGUAACUACUGGAGAUAACUUCUGGAAGUCCCUGAAACUGACAAGAUUCACUAAGGCCACUCCCAACCACUCCCCGCCACUCACAUGGGCAGAAAGCUGAGUUGUGAAGUAGACCCAGAAAAACCACACAGCAAAGACUCUGAGAUCAGACCAGCUGCCUGGAAGAAGCAGAAACCAGCUGAGCUGCCUGGAAAAGGUCGAGACCAGCUGAGGCACCUGGAAAGGACACUCUUCAAACUGUUGAGCUACCUGCAGAGCUGUGUAGUAUGCUCCAGGUUCCCAAUUUUUUAGUAACCCAUCACCCAUAUUCCCAUAAAUAACUCCAAUAUAAUUAACUGGUUAAACAGG